rnacentral:misc_RNA from 1 species
GGAAGGAUCAUUAACACUAAUCCAAUUCACCUUAACCUAGCCUUCAGUGCAGUAUCAGUGCUAGCUUCGGCAGGCCUCUUACUGCUCUAUAAACCUAAUCUAAAGAAGCUUAACUAAGCUCAACCACUAAAACCAAAUUCUCAACGAUGGAUAUCUUGGUUCCCAUAACGAUGAAGAACGCAGCGAAGUGCGAUAAGCAAUGCGAAUUGCAGAACCGUGAGUCAUCAGAUCUUUGAACGCAACUGGCGCUAGGUGGCUAUCCACCUAGCAUGCUUGUUUCAGUGUCUCAUUUUCUCCUAACCAAAAUCUUAAUGCUUGAGAUACCCUUCUCUUGCUAAGUACGAAAGCACUCUGAGCCCUGCAGGUGAUUUGGCUUCGGCCAAGGUCACACUCAAUGCAGCAGUCACAUUUCUAAUGUGAACUCAUUGAGAGUAGAGUCAGCGCAGCUUGUCUGCAAGUGCUUAGGCCCUCAAACUCUUCUAGCAUCUGAAAUCAAGCAGGAUCACCCGCUGAACUUAAGCAUAUCACUAAGCGGAGGAAAAGAAAUUAACUAAGAUUGCCCCAGUAACGGCGAGUGAAGCGGCAAAAGGCCAAACUGUAAAUCUCUGUGUUUCACACAGCGAAUUGUAAUCUAAAGGAGGGAAGCUCACCUAGAGUUGACGCAGAAGUGUCUUAGAACGGACCGCCAGAGAGGGUGACAGCCCCGUAUGUGGUGUCGACUCUUAACGAGCUCCUUUCAAAGAGUCGGGUUGUUUUGAAUUGCAGCCCUAAGCUGGGGGAUAGACUUCCUCUAAGCCUAAAUAUUUAUGGGAAACCGAUAGCGAACAAGUACUGUGAAGGAAAGAUGAAAAGAACUUUGAAAAGAGAGUUAAAAGAUUUGAAAUCGUUGAGACGGAAGCGGUAGAAAUUUAUCCUACUGGUAGGAACAAAGGCUUGGUCCUAACCAUUGGCGUGUGCCAGCACUUAACCGGCUGCUAGCGCCACGUGGGGAAGACCUUGCUGGGUUCCUACUGUGAGGCAAAAUGAGGUCUGGCUGCUCCAAAAACUUGGUAGAGACCGCUUGUUUACAGGCACUCUACCUUUGUUGGGAGCCGCCAGGCCUGAGGAAGCUUAUGCGAUUUUGCCAAAAUGGUUUUUACCGACCCGUCUUGAAACACGGACCAAGGAGUCUAACAAAUAUGCGAGUAUGCUGGUACAAAAACCAUCAUGCGAAAUUAACGUGAUUGAUGCCAAGCUCCCUGCAGCAUCAACCGACCAUGAUCCUCUGGUGAAAGGUUUGAGUAUGAGCAUAUCUGUUAGGACCCGAAAGAUGGUGAACUAUGCCUGGGUAGGGUGAAGUCAGGGGAAACUCUGAUGGAGGCUCGUAGCGGUUCUGACGUGCAAAUCGAUCGUCAAACUUGGGUAUAGGGGCGAAAGACUAAUCGAACCAUCUAGUAGCUGGUUCCCUC